rnacentral:rRNA from 1 species
AACGAACGCUGGCGGCAUGCCUAACACAUGCAAGUCGAACGAGACCUUCGGGUCUAGUGGCGCACGGGUGCGUAACGCGUGGGAAGCUGCCCUUAGGUUCGGAAUAACUCCCCGAAUGGGGUGCUAAUACCGGAUAAUGUCUUCGGACCAAAGAUUUAUCGCCUUUGGAUGGGCCCGCGUUGGAUUAGCUAGUUGGUAGGGUAAAAGCAUACCAAGGCGACGAUUCAUAGCUGGGCUGAGAGGAUGAUCAGCCACACUGGGACUGAGACACGGCCCAGACUCCUACGGGAGGGAGGAGAGGGGAAUAUUGGAAAAUGGGCGAAAGCCUGAUCCAGCAAGGCCGGGUAAGUGAUGAAGGCCGUAGGGUUGUAAAGCUCUUUUACCCGGGAUGAUAAUGACAGUACCGGGAGAAUAAGCUCCGGCUAACUACGUG